rnacentral:rRNA from 1 species
UUAACGUAGACGAAAGUUACGCUAAUACCGCAUACGAUCUACGGAUGAAAGCAGGGGACCUUCGGGCCUUGUGCUAUACGAGCGGCCGAUGUCUGAUUAGCUAGUUGGUGAGGUAAAGGCUCACCAAGGCGACGAUCAGUAGCGGGUCUGAGAGGAUGAUCCGCCACACUGGGACUGAGACACGGCCCAGACUCCUACGGGAGGCAGCAGGUGGGGUAAUUUUUGGACAAUGGGCGAAAGCCUGAUCCAGCCAUGCCGCGUGUCUGAAGAAGGCCUUCGGGUUGUAAAGGACUUUUGUCAGGGAGCAAAACUUACUGGUUAAUACCCGGUGAGGCUGAGAGUACCUGAAGAAUAAGCACCGGCUAACUACGUGCCAGCAGCCGCGGUAAUACGUAGGGUGCAAGCGUUAAUCGGAAUUACUGGGC